rnacentral:rRNA from 1 species
CGGAGGGAUCAUUAAAGAGUUCUAUAACUCCCAAACCCAUGUGAACAUACCUAACGUUGCCUCGGCAGGUCGCACCUACCUUGUAGCACCCUACCCUGUAGGGCCUACCCGGGAGGUGCAGGUAAGCCUGCCGGCGGCCCACCAAACUCUGUUUGAUAUUGAAUUCUGAACCUAUAACUAAAUAAGUUAAAACUUUCAACAACGGAUCUCUUGGUUCUGGCAUCGAUGAAGAACGCAGCGAAAUGCGAUAAGUAAUGUGAAUUGCAGAAUUCAGUGAAUCAUCGAAUCUUUGAACGCAUAUUGCGCCCAUUAGUAUUCUAGUGGGCAGGACCGUUCGAGCGUCAUUUCAACCCUUAAGCCUUCGUUGCUUAGUGUUGGGAGCCUACGGCAACGUAGCUCCUCAAAGUUAGUGGCGGAGUUGGUUCACACUCUAGACGUAGUAAUUUUUUAUCUCGCCUAUUAGUUGGACUAGUCCCCUGCCGUAAAACCCCCAAUUUAUCAAGGUUGACCUCGAAUCGGUUCAGACAAACUCGCUAAAUUGAAGCAUCUUAGUCAGCGAAGGAAAAGAAACCAACAGGGAUUGCCCUAGUAACGGCGAGUGAAGCGGCAACAGCUCAAAUUUGAAAUCUGGCCCUC